GAUGAACGCCGACAGAAUGCUUAACACAUGCAAGUCAACUUGAAUUUGGGUUUUUAACUUCGGUUUGGGUGGCGGACGGGUGAGUAACGCGUAAAGAACUUGCCUCACAGCUAGGGACAACAUUUGGAAACGAAUGCUAAUACCUAAUAUUAUGAUAAUAGGGCAUCCUAUAAUUAUGAAAGCUAUAAGCGCUGUGAGAGAGCUUUGCGUCCCAUUAGCUAGUUGGAGAGGUAACGGCUCACCAAGGCGAUGAUGGGUAGCCGGUCUGAGAGGGUGAUCGGCCACAAGGGGACUGAGACACGGCCCUUACUCCUACGGGAGGCAGCAGUGGGGAAUAUUGGACAAUGGACCGAGAGUCUGAUCCAGCAAUUCUGUGUGCACGAUGAAGUUUUUCGGAAUGUAAAGUGCUUUCAGUUGGGAAGAAACAAAUGACGGUACCAACAGAAGAAGUGACGGCUAAAUACGUG
rnacentral:rRNA from 1 species